rnacentral:lncRNA from 1 species
UUUUCCUGUUCAGCACUAAGCACAGCAACAAAUCAGAGCAGAUGUGGCUCGAUGAAACCAUCCCGCAGCUCAGGAUGAGAGAGGUGGUUACAAACAGCUUUGAAUAUGUGUGUGCUUGUGUGUCUGUGUACAAUAUAGCUGAACAAACCUCCGCUGCUGUUGGCGCAGCAGAACAGAUGACUUGGAAAAGGCUCUUGAGUUUUUCACCUCAUAUAACACCAUUUUUAUGCUUAUUACUAUUGAUGUGAUUGAACCUCUGCCACAGUCUGAUUUUGGAUGCCUGUGCCCAUGGAGACUGGAGAACAUCAGCAAGUCAUAGAGAGAGCAGAACCAGAAUUACCUAUGGCUGCAGAGAGGAUGUGGGACGUGGUGGCUGAGGAGAACACAGUGUGCUUGUACGCGGGGCAGCUUUACAGUAUUUUUUUCUAAUUUUCUACAUUCAGUAGCACCACUGCCACGCUGCUCAGUGCCUGGGGACAACACAGGGGCUGCCCACCAGGGCCAGAGCUGCUGGAGGAUCCCACAGCAGCGUCCUGUCCUUGGCUGCUCAUCAAACUGCUCCUUGGAUGGAGCACAAGGAAGAUCGCAGGCUUGGAGCCCCCACAUAGGACCUGCUUUCUGGGCUGGAAUUGCAGAAUGGUUUCUGCUGAAGGUGUAUGCAGCAUUUGGGGCCAUAUCCCACCUGCAAGCUGGGCAGUCGUCGCAGUGAGGACCACACGCUUUUGUGCCUGGACACCAAAUAGGAGAUGACUACUUGGGGAAAGUCAAGGGCUGAUUUGUCAUGGUCCUGGAUGAGGUUUGCUCCCUGGACAUUGCAGCAGCUUGUGGAGGCUGUGACAGACGGGAGUAAAGGUGAGCUCUCAUGGGCAGGGUACAAGAGAUCACUCUCUCUCUCUCCUAUCUCAUCAGUUUGUUUAGAAGCACUCAUUAAAAAAUGCCAUCUUCAUGAGACAGGGUUCUUUUGUGAUGCUUUCCUCUUUCUGAAGGAAAUGUCAGAAAUCCUGCUUAAGCAGGAGGUGAAAAGCAAAGGCCCUUUAUUUGCUCUCGUAGCUAGCAGAGGAGAUCAGAAGGCUGCAGCCCCUUCCCUGUCAGUGCCGUGCUGUUGGCAGGACCUGUGCCCCUACCCGAUCUCCUAGCGUGGUGGUGUGAACAUAAUCCCUCCUGAUAAAGUUUUCUGGGCCUGUCUGGAUGUUUGAGUACUGAAAGGGGAGUCCUAUACAAGCCUAUGGAAACCAGCAGGGGCUUUUCCAGGAUUGGCUCAUGCCAGGAUUGCACCCUGUUGUGUUUCACGUCCUGUCUGUGAACUUUUUUGGUUCCUUUUUUUUUGCUUAAAGAGGAUGGAUCGAGGCUUUCAUAGCCAGUUCAUCUCUCAGUUGGCCCCUACACCAGUAGAAAAGGAGAGAAAGGCAUGCUGGAAAGAAAUAACACAGUAACACCUUCUCGGUGAACUGCAAUUAACCUCUGUGUCUUUGUAGCUUAAAACAAUGUUACAUGUGGAAAAAAAAAAAAAAGCAACAAAAAACACAAAAACACACAGCAAAUACUUUUCCAAAGGCAGUCAAACACCAUUGUUCUUUAUCGGCUGAGCUCUUUGUUGCCUGGGGCUAUCUGCAUCAUUCCUCUGCUAAAGCACAAGGAUAAUUUUCUCUCUUUUAGUGUGAAAAG